rnacentral:lncRNA from 1 species
UCCACUCUCCGUCUUCAAAGAAUCCACGCCCCGCACGUCACGUGAGCGUCUCAGUCACCCACACAAUGACACAAAUCCACGUACGCCAUGUCUUCCGUUCAUAGCAACGACCGGCAUGGCAUGUGGGCCCGCGCCAAAUGCACACGACAUGAGCCCAACAACACAUGCACGCCGCUUCGUAGCCCGUAGGGGACGGGAAAGUGGUUUGGUUUCAGUAGACCCGCACACGCUGCGUCUUCCAUGCAUAGAAACACGAGAAAAGCGGUUUCAGCAGCUGCGGGGUGGAGCUAUUUUACUCAUCCUAAUCUGCCCACAAACCUGGCUACAAAAAGUCGUACCGAGACCCCUCAAGUGAUGGGGUGGUGGAUCUGCUCGCCACUGGUGUCCUGACACUCUCUAGCUACUUCGACUCCCCUACGUCCUCCAAGGUACGCACGUAUGUACGUCUGAUUUUCUGGCUCACUGACUCCACGGGUGUUGGGGGACUUCUUCUCCACCGAAGGUCCUCAAGACGAAGAUGUUAUCUAAGGGCGUUAACAACGAAUGCCGAAGCUACGGCCGAAGGACAAUAGCUUCGGUUUAAGGUGUCGACGAAGGUCAAGUAUGGUGCCGAAGUCGAAGAGGAAAAGACUAGUUAAUCAUUGAUGAUUUAUGUUACGAUUAUGUGUAUGUGUCAAGGUAAUAAAUGUAUUUCUACUCUGGCUGCGUCUUGUGCCUAUAAAUAGGUGAACAGUAUACCCCCGUACUGUUCACGCUGAAUUGUAAUUGCUCUCGUGUCAACACCUUCGAGCAAGCCGAAGGUAUCAAUGUAACAGGAAUCUUAUUCAUACGUUUGUCAUGAAAUAAAUAUUUGAAUUAAUACAUGAAUGGAUAAUGUUUAUUAUAUAUACAUGAGUUGUCAUUAUCGCGAAUGAUGAAGGUGUGUCAUUCAAGACCUUCGUCUGAGAACCAUUAUCUCCGAAAGGAGAUGGUGUUUCGGAGGACGAAGGUCCCUAAUCUCUAACAAUUGUGUUGCCUUGUUCUUGAUCCACAAUAUUUGAGAACAAGUGAACAACAACGGGCAUCUUCACAGGCCUGUCCACCGAGUUCAUGUCGUGUUCCUGGGACC